UCCACCACUUCCCUGGGUGGUGCUUUCCCAUGCUGACAUUUUCUUUCAUCUCUUCAGAGACUAAAUGUCUGCUGCAGAUCCCUUUAAAAUGGAAAGACGUAUCAGUGAUGCACCAAAGACUCUUGUGCUGCAUACGAGUCAUUAAGAGCCCGCCUGGCUCCCUGCCACCCCUCUGCAUUGUGCCACAGCCUCCUUCUUGCCCUGUGGGCUGAUAUGCUCACAGCUGGCUCUUCACUGAUGCACCGGAGUGCGAUAGCUGAGGGCUAUCUACAUGGAAGAGGCUGCACAUGAGGUUUGAUCAGCCUUGGCAAGAGAUGGAUCGAGGACUUGAGGUCCCAGCCUGUCCUGACACGCAGAAGUAAGAGUCAAUUGAUAACUCUCAUUUCCCCUUAGCAUCUCUGCUAUCUGUGCACCCACAGAGAACUGUUUGGCAGUGCUGGUGUGUGAACUUCAAGUGGAAAGAAGGAGCUCACACUGCAUCGCUGUCUCCUCUCUGAGGGCCCCUACUUGUGCUCAUGGUUCCCAUGCUUGCUCCCUCAAUUCAUGCCUAGAAAGGCAGCUUGUUCCUCUGGAAGGUUUCUAUAUGAGCCAGUGCACGUCAAUAUAUUGUGCCGGGUGCAGGAAAGGUCUCAUACUUGUCAAGAAAUGCAGUUUCUGCCAUGGGAUGGCCCUAAGCCCUGGCGGCCUUCUCUCACUGCUCUCAUCCUGGUUAGGUGAUGUGGUAAUGUGGUCAGCUCUUUUCGAAUACUUAGCUUGUCUAACACCACUUUGCUCAGUUUAAGCUGAUAUUACCCAACAGAUGGACUGCAACCAACCAGAGGCCUCACAAGAAACAACUCAUAUGUCAGAUAUGCAUAAUGCAAUAAAAUUUCAUUGCAUUCUGAAUUGAGAGCAGGACUAUGUCCACCUGCAUCCUUCCCAGCCAGGUGUUUGCUGCCAGUCUUGCAGAACCCACCCUACGGUUUGAUAGUCUUCUCACUGUCUGACUCAACCCAAAUGUCUCUCUUGUGUUUAUGAUAAAUGUUAAAAUAAGGGAAAAAGUUAACUGAAGACUGCAGAGCAUACUGAGUAAGAAUGGUGUGGCUGUAAUGUCUCUCUGCCGGGCAUUUUCCCUUGCUGAAUACAGGAAAUAGUAGAUUCACUUCUGCUUCUCAUGGAGCUGUUCAACCGCUUUUCUCUCUCCAGAUUUAUGCACAGCUUUGGGCCCUGCUCCCCACAAACACUUCUGCUUUUAAAUAUGUUUAUAGCUGCCUAAAAGACAAUAGUUGGCAGGAUGAAAACCCUGUUUCUCAACCCAGCUGUUCCCAGCCAAUUUCUGUCAUGUGCACUGUAUAUAAUAUAUAGGGAAGUGAAAUUAUGAGAGAUUCACAAACUCACAAACUCCCCUAAGUGACAGACGCUGCAUUUCAACCUUCAAGCAGCCUUGACAUCAGACUGGGUCACACAAGAGCCAAAUCCUGUCUGCACAUCUGAUCCGUCUCGUUAUCAGGCAGGUGCCAUGCUACAAGCUCUACUGUCAAGAAGCCAAGUCUGCCAGCUCUUUGGCUUUCCACGGUGCUUCUGCUGUGACUGAAUGAAGAGAAGUUAACAAAUAACCCAAACCAGAUCUCUGCCAGAGAGUUACGCUUCAAAUUUGCACAAUAUGCUGAUUCAAGAUUUUUACACUUCAGUCAACACUUCAGGGUGAGGUUGACUUAACUUGCUUUUCCCAUGCAAACAGGGCAUGCUCUUGGCCCAUCUCACCCGAGCCGCACAGCAGUGGUUCAGCCUGGUGCUGGCCCAGGGAAGCUGAUAGGCUUUGUGGGGACCCCUGUGAAACCUGAUCAGCGCAUUUGCCUUUCUCACGUUUUGAUCUGAGCCGCAAACACCCUACCCAAAUAUAAACAUCAUUGCUUUUGUGCUGUUGCAGCUACACCCAUCAGCUUCCCACCUACUGCUGGGUCUUGGCAAGACCAUGGGCAUGUCCUCCAAAUGAAGUGGCACAACUACUGGUGGCCCUUCCAGCACACACCAAAAAGGUUUAAGAGAAUUAAGUGGGACUGGAUGGAACUGAACAGGAGGGAAGUGGGUUGAAAGCCUUCUUAGCUCUCUAGGUGAAACUCUGGCACCAAACACUCAGCAUGUAGUCACCAGGAUGCUGCAGAUACUGCUAAUGGUAGUUUGGAUGGUGCCUGAAACAAAACUGAGAUGUGAGAGCAAUGCACUAACCGGAGCUGAUGCCCAGUUUCUAGUCUUACGCCCAACUGGUUGGUGCAAUUGCUGUGGUUAACUUUCAGAGCUGGGCGGCUCCGUCCUUAGGGGAUGAUGUCUAGAGCUACUUAGUAACGUGUUAGCUAGCCAGGGUCUGGAGCAGGCCCAGUCCAGCAAGUGCAGUUACUUUAAACUGAGUCAUUCAGUCCCCAAAUGGGGACCCUUUCUACAAGUGCUGGAAGGAGUUGGUAAUGCCAGUACUCAAAAGCGGGAGUCAAAUUAAGACAGUUCAUACAAGUUAAUGCCAAAAUAAAAUUUAAACAGUGAAGAUGGAGAAUGCAGCUAAUGCCGUUCUAUGUGGUUUUAUAGCAAGAGAAAAAACAACAACUUUGAUUUGGUCAUCUGAUGAGAUGACAAGGCUGAGAAUAACGCUGUGCAGGAGAUUUGCACCUUUGGAUUGCAUUGCCCGCUGCUGUGAUCGACACUCUCCAGCCCAUAGUGAUGCAAAUCUUAUAUAGCAGUAUAAUUGGAUUUGGACUGAUGAGCUGUCAGAUUAAAAAAAAAAAGUCAGUGAAAAAAUCCAUACCAAACUAUAUAUAUUGUUUGUAAAAGCUCUGUGGGAGCCAUGAAUUCAAACCCCAAAAAAACUUCAGUAUUAUCAUCAGUGGAGUGAAAGCGGACUGGGAAUCAGAGCCAGUAGGGUGAUCUGAUCAAAAAACUAGAUGACUGGGCAGCAGUUCAGCAAGCUCUGAGUAAUCUGGGGUUUCUGAGAUGAUUCACCCUCACGUUUAUUGUAGCCAGCAUUACAUGUUGGAGAAAUGAGCACCACAAACUGUGCCUGGAACACAAGGUCUAUCCACCAGGCAACCAUGAAGCCAGCCAGCGUGGGCAGACAUUGAAACUGAGCACCCGGCUGGAUGCUUCAGUACAAAGAGCUGAUGCAAUCUUUGGGUGUUUACAGCUGUACUACGUGAGAAGGAACACAGGAGGGAAAAUUUUACUGCUGUAGGGCUCUCUGCUGGGGCUGUAGGCAUGCUUCAUGUGUGCAAACUCAUAAGAGGUGGAGAAAGUAGAACAAAGCAAGCAAACCUCUGGGACACUGUCAGGUGCACCCUUGCUCCCUGCUCCCACAGUCGUUCUCUGACGACUUUAAGCCAGUAGAUCCGGAGUAAUGUUUAGAGCCUUGAGACUACUGUUAUACUCACAACAUGUUGUGCUGCUUCUUUGCCCAUAAAUAAGAUUUUGAGCGCAACGUCUCCCUGCAGCCCACUGGGCUGGAGAAUUCUGAGAGUUUGAGCGCGUUCAUUCCUCUGUCUGGCUCUGGACUUCAGCAUGUGAUGCUCACAGCUGCAUUAGAGGUGACAUGGUUUAGCACAUUUGGGAUGCCAGCACCCCUGUUCUUCUCCUUCUUCACAAACAGAGGCACAAUAAAAGCAUCUCUAAACAAUUGCUCUGAAGAGUGAACUCCAACCCUCGCACAGCUUACAAGCCUAAACAGUGCAUCCGAAAUGCUGAGUGCUGACUGCAGCCAUCUCCUUCUCCGAAGCUCUGCCUGGAGGGUGAGCACCCUGUGUCCGGGUGCAGGUUCUCCUCCACUUGUUUCAGAGGGAGGGAGAGGCCUCUGAAGCAAAACCCAGCAGAGGGAGCCUCGUCUUCUCAUGUCACUUGACAUGGCGGCGUUCUAGACUGCCAGUAGGAGAUGCAGUUGUUCUUCAUUACAAAUGUGGGAGGCAAAAAUUGCCUUGAGAGAGAGAAACGCUGCAUCUAGGGGUGGAAAUGUCUUAGCUCAAGGGCUGGAGAAGGGAAGAGCCGCAGAAAGCUGGCACACUUGCACACAAAGCUAGCAUACUUCAUGCAAACAAAAAGGCCCCCCUUCCUGAAACCUGCUCUGACAGCCGUGCCCCGAUCUGUUGGUCUGCAAAGACCUGCACAGCCCUUGACCUGGGUGAGUACUGUGUUAAGAGAUCAGCACUAAAUGGAUAUCUCACCUCAGAUGGUGAUUCAUUUCAUUUUUCUGAACCAGCCUCCACAGCAAGCAGUGGGUAAGCCCAGCACCAACGUUCAAGUUCAAGAAUGAGUCAGACUGUGGCUAUUUUUCCAUGGCACCAGGCUUCAGAGAGAGCUGGUGUGCCUCUGAAAUCGAGAAGAGCCUGGGCGUGCUGUGCUGGUAUCGGUGCUGGAUUACUGGAGGUGCUGUGGGGAAAUGGAGAGGUGAGCAGAGACCCACGGCUCUGCUCUAUUUCUUGGUGUGCCUCCUCCUCCUUUUGGCAGAGUGGAACUCAGACCCGGCUUAGUGCAUCUGAUCCGAUACUUAAGAAGCAGGAGGUAAUUAAUGAACCCAUGUCAAAUAUGUGACUUCUUACCUUGCUGCAUGCUGGCUGAAAACUGUCACGGGGAAAAAAUAUGGUUUCCCAAGGUAUCUUUAAUUAUCUUAAGCAUGAGACUGUUCCCUCCUAUUCUUAAUAUCCACUACUUACCUUUCAGCCUAGGCAGCAAAUGGGGGGAUAUCCUGUAGAACAAAGUCAGAGCUAUGAAAUUCAAACUGGCAUAUAUAGAAGAGUUGGUAUUUAUUGGUAGAGAACACAGAGUUACUAAAGGUUACUAAGGUUACUAAAAUCAGGCAGAAUUCUUAACUUGCCGGUUAGCGCAGUUUACAGGAUGCAGGUUGUGCCUUACAUUUUUCAUGAAAUAUCUAGAUGGUAGAAAAGUGCCUCUGGUCCUCAGUUCUCAACUAGCUCUACAUUUUUCUCUUACUGUCUACCAGGGAGAAACAUUUCCAGGCCUACUAAUAUACUUGUAUGCAGAUUUCCUUAACCACGUGUAACUGUAUGCUCCCUACUUUUCAUUUUGGGGUCUUUUUUCCCUUCAUAUUUGCAUUGAGUUCAUCCUCAGUCAUUUUAAUAUUUUCUGUAUGUCACCACUGCUGAAGCUGCUGCCAGUUCCUAAGUUACAGCUCAGCAUUAUUUUACAAAAUCAAUAGGAUAACAGGAGU